GACGAACGCUGGCGGCGUGCUUAACACAUGCAAGUCGAACGGUAAGGCCUUCGGGUACACGAGUGGCGAACGGGUGAGUAACACGUGGGUGAUCUGCCCCCUACUCUGGGAUAAGCCUGGGAAACUGGGUCUAAUACCGGAUAUGACCUACUUCUGCAUGGUUGGUGGUGGAAAGUUUUUUCGGUAGGGGAUGAGCCCGCGGCCUAUCGGCUUGUUGGUGGGGUAAGGGCCUACCAAGGCGACGACGGGUAGCCGGCCUGGGAGGGCGACCGGCCACACUGGGACUGAGACACGGCCCAGACUCCUACGGGAGGCAGCAGUGGGGAAUAUUGCACAAUGGGCGAAAGCCUGAUGCAGCGACGCCGCGUGGGGGAUGACGGCCUUCGGGUUGUAAACCCCUUUCAGUCGGGACGAAGCGAGAGUGACGGUACCGAUAGAAGAAGCACCGGCCAACUACGUGCCAGCCGCCGCUGUAACAC
rnacentral:rRNA from 1 species